rnacentral:rRNA from 1 species
CAUGCCGUAAACGUUGGGCACUAGGUGUGGGGAGCCGUCAACGCUCUCUGUGCCGUAGCUAACGCAUUAAGUGCCCCGCCUGGGGAGUACGGCCGCAAGGCUAAAACUCAAAGGAAUUGA